rnacentral:rRNA from 1 species
CACGGAGUUAGCCGGGGCUUCUUCUCCCGCUACCGUCAUCAUCGUCGCGGGCGAAAGAGCUUUACAACCCUAGGGCCUUCAUCACUCACGCGGCAUGGCUGGAUCAGGCUUGCGCCCAUUGUCCAAUAUUCCCCA